GCUGUGGUUUUUGUUUCUUUCAUCUUAUCUGAGAGGCAUUUACCUUGUGCUUUGACAGGUUCCAACACAGUAAAUCAAAGGCUACAAUAACCUGGGCCAUUCACUAUGGUCACAAGCAGAUGAUACAGCUUUCUGCUGCUGAAGCAACCAGCAAUCUGUGGGCUCAUCUCAUCCUGCAAAACUCUCAUUUCCUGCACUGGGCUUUCUUGAUGUAGAGGAUUGGAGACUCUGUACAUUUACAUGUACAUCUUAGUGCCCAAUCCAGAAGCACGAGGGAGUUAAUGUCCUAAGGGAGGCUGGUCAAUGCAUAUAUUUCUCAUGUUUCCUCGUUUCUUGGAGAAGAUGAAGUUCUUCCUUUCCAGAGCUAAGCAGGUUCAGACUCCAGCCAAACACAGUUCUGUAUUGAAUAAGAUUCUGCAUCAAUGAGGAGAAGUGUCAUAGGAGGCCUCAUAAGACACCAGAUGACCAAUUACAGGAGAAUCAUCAGAAAGAGAACAAGAAAGACUGAGGUAAAAAUGACUAAUGGUGUUUUUGUGCUCCCUUCCUACUUUCCUUUGAAGGAUAAUUAUUGAUUUAUCAAAAAAUAUACUUGCCAUGAAUUACAUCACAUGCUCUUAGAAAUAUGAGGUAUAUAGAAAUGUUGGAAUAUAAACUGUGUUACAUGGAGUCUUUUUGUUAACAGGAUUUUUUCUAAUUCUUUAUGAUUCUCUAUGCCUAUAUGAAUGCAAAGCUGUUUCGUUUUAUUUUGGGCCCAAAUACUUUAUUAUAAUCAUAAUAACAAGCCUACAAUAAUUUUGCAGGCUUGUUAAUAGAGAGCCUACAGUUUGUUGUUUAUCAAGCCAGCAUUUGAGUUAGGCCUCAUAAAUAUGCCCAG
rnacentral:lncRNA from 1 species